AUGCUUUCUAUGACACCAAUUCUAUGUCCAGCGGGGAAGGGGGGAAUAUAUUCAACAAUUUUACUUUGUUCUAAGUACGAUAAUAGUAAUUUAAAAGUAUUUUAAAAUGUAUACGAGGCAAAAUAUUGCUAUCAUUCUUUUUCAUUUCAAUAUUCUACGUCCAUAACUUGAUGUUGUAUUCUAUUGCUCCUCUUUUCUAUUUUUUUAAGUUUCUCUUUUUUUUUAUUUCAAUAUAGACAAAUAAAAAUCGCAAGAUUCUAAAACCAUAAAUUUGUAAUUCUUAAAGUUAAAGACAUUAUCUUACGGUGCCAUAUUUUUUUAUUAGUUUCUAUCACUACGAGGUGAUUUCAUGUGCAUUAAGUUUUUUUCCAUGACCAUAAGCACUAGGCGAUUUUAUCCUUAAACCCGCGUCUAUCCCGCAGUGCUGGCGGAAACAACAAAAAGCACUUUAGGAUAAAUGUUAUGAGCUCAAAUCCUCAAAUUUCCCCCAGCAAUAUGUUUGAUACAUUGGUGCCCACUCGUUUAUGUCAGUGCGCCUUGCCCGCUCCCACCCUUCGGGAAGUCCUGGAUCCGACCUGCACAAGAACGCAAACCAGGUCCACGUCAAGGGCCGCCAGCCUGUGACACGAGUCUAGAGUCAAACUCCUGACAAACGGCACGUUGAGUGUGAAGCGCUUGAUUCCGCUACUGGAGAUGUAAUAAUAACAGGCAACAUGACUGCAGCAUCAGGUUAGCGAUUCGUGGAGAGUAGACAUGGAUCUGCUUGAGGGCGAGGUCACUAAGCAUGAUAUUUCCUACUGACUCAGCAGCGCGCAAAUCAAUCGCGAGGGAGUUCCCACUGAACAGCAAUCCUGCACGGACCACCAGUAAAUCCUUCAGUGAUACGCACCUGAUAUUGAUACGAUAUGAAUGUAUAAAUAACAUGAAAAAUCUAAUAAUGAUAUCGUGGUGUACACACGCACCCUUAUUUAACACCUAACUAAACCGUUGCUUACCGGUUAACGGCCUUAACUUUA